rnacentral:pre_miRNA from 1 species
UCAUCUGGUCCGGGGACAGUUCUCGCCAAUCAGCUGCCACGAUUACUGCGUUCAGGUGCGCUUUUAGAGCGCCCGCGUAAUUGAGGCUGGCUGAUUGGGGGUCC